rnacentral:rRNA from 1 species
CCUACGGGGCGCAGCAGUGGGGAAUAUUGGACAAUGGGCGAAAGCCUGAUCCAGCAAUGCCGCGUGUGUGAAGAAGGUCUUCGGAUUGUAAAGCACUUUCGACGGGGACGAUGAUGACGGUUCCCGUAGAAGAAGCCCCGGCUAACUUCGUGCCUGCAGCCGCGGUAAUACGAAGGGGGCUAGCGUUGCUCGGAAUGACUGGGCGUAAAGGGCGCGUAGGCGGUUUAUGCAGUCAGAUGUGAAAUCCCCGGGCUUAGCCUGGGAACUGCAUUUGAGACGCAUAGACUAGAGGUCGAGAGAGGGUUGUGGAAUUCCCAGUGUAGAGGUGAAAUUCGUAGAUAUUGGGAAGAACACCGGUGGCGAAGGCGGCAACCUGGCUCGAUACUGACGCUGAGGCGCGAAAGCGUGGGGAGCAAGCAGGAUUAGAUACCCUCGUAGUC